AACAGAUUAAUAUUCAGCAGAGCGAUAAAUGCAUCCUUCUCCUUAAUUCUGCUGCAGGCAACCCUGCAGGCACCUCUGUCCUUGGUUGCUUUGAUCAGCUCCACCUGUGCCCACACCUGCUGCCCAUGGACGGCUAUACUUCUGACUUUUUACUCUGCCUUUGACUGGAGUUUGUGGGGCUGUGGUUGGAGGUUUUGGCUGCUGUGGAACUGCUACAUUGGCUUAGUGAACCUAUCUGUACCUGUUGGCGAUUUGAACCUCUGCCCACACAGCCCUGUGACCAGAGACUUUCAACAGUUCCAAGCUAAAUAGAGAGAAAUGAAGGAAAGGAGGAGAAAAAAACAGAUUGCAGCUCCACACCCAGUGGUUUUUGUUGCAGUAGAGACCAUGACCACAUCUGUAUUUCAUGUUAUCACAUGGCCAGAGUAUUCCC
rnacentral:lncRNA from 1 species